AAAAAGUCGUAGGCAUAGACAGCGCUACGAGAAUUUUAUUUACGCGCAAGAAUGUUAGGACCAGUUCCUCGAAAUAUGAAGCCGGAUGCGGGCGUCUGUGCGUCUUCUGUUGUGCGAUAUCGUCACGGUUCCAGCGCUACAUCAGCGUUGUGGUAACGGUCGCUAAACGAACAGCUUACCGAGGAUACUUUUUGCGAACGAGCACACGGAUUGCCGGAAGAACCGACAAAAUGAAAGACCCCUGUCUUACUUGAGUGUCCUGAGCCUCUCUUUUACGCGUUUAAUUUAAUUUGGAUACAGCAGCUCUGCUUGGUGCCAGGUAAGGUAACUUCCUCGUCACAGGGGGUCUCCAACGGUGUCGUACGCUGAGCAUGCGCUAGCCGUUCGCCAGAGGCAUCGGCAUUCAUAAUAACAUGUGUCGCCAAACACAUUUCUCUCGAACCAAACACAUUUCGUAUGAGCGUCUGCGCCUCCAGUAAGGAAGAUCUGUGUACUGAGUAGUAUUGGGACGUCUGUUUACGUGUGCAGUGCAAUAGUACUACGGUGCCUUCUCCCCGUACAACGUGAGCAUCAGUCGCAACCCGACCCCCUCGCCUGAACGGUGAUUCCGUCUGCGCAAACGGUGGUUCGGAAGGUCUAGCGCUGGGCUAUUUGUUUUUAGAGAAACCGCCGACGGAAUGGGUUCUGCUAUCACUAGCACAAAAGAGGACAGGACUGAUGGUCUGCAACAAGGGCGAGCAAACAACUUCUCCCGGUCUGCCUGUUGGGCAGCCAAGGACGAAUAUUUUGCAUGCUUGGACAAGCACGGCGGGGACUCAUAUGCUGAGUGCAAGGAGUACAAGCAAAGGUUUGAGGAGAUGUGCCUCCCGUCGUGGCAAGCGCAUUUCACGGCGCAGCGUGGUGUUGAAGUUCGUUCCCCACGAUAGUGCCGCUGGAAAGUAAGGAUAACAUCAACUGGACUUGCGUCCUCUUCAUAGACUCUCUCUGGGCAUCUGUCCUCCAUGAGGCUGGUAGGGAUAUAGGUUAUUGGUGUAGUCCAUCAGAAAUGUGACUGCGAAAACAUAUGAAUGCUGGAGGACUAAACCUCUCGAUGUGAAGGCGUCCUCUUCGGGCGACAGCGGUUCUUCGUUGGGAGCGAAGCAUUUCCCCGAGGACGGGUUCGUCGUUACGUGUGCAUUAGCACCUUGACGGCGUCAGCUCCGUUUUACAUAUCAUUUUUUCCCAAUUGUACAAAGCCAUUAUGCUUCACCCUGCUUGCCACACGUUCUCGCGGAACAGGCCUGUUGCGCAGAUGAUGUGGAACGACACUGCCGUCGUCUGUACGGCGCCUUGGGGUGCGUGUGGUCCGAACCAGUAUAUAAUUUUACUGCUACCGUGAAAAUGGAGCUGCUGGACUCGGCGCUACUGCGUGCACUUCGGACACACUCAUUUCUUGGUGCUUGAGGGCAGCCGCGUUUACCCAACAGCCACUGUGGAGCAUGCGCGAUCCAGUGACGAUCGAUAUUCGGUUUUGUGUUGUUAUUGAAGAGUUCAUGCUCGUCUUCUUAAGGUGUUUCUCAU
rnacentral:lncRNA from 1 species